CGAGUAGUUACUUUUAGAGGAUAAUAUUUUACUCAAUAAAAACCAAGCAUAUUCUUAAUUUUGAAACUGAUGAAUUUUGUAAAUAGUUUUUCUUGACAAAUUGAAAUAAGAAUUUUACCAGAUGAAAUCUCGCUAAGCAACAAAAAAAAGUCAAUAAAAUAUAAUUUUUAAUUUAGUCAACAAUAGGACGAUGAAAUGCAGGUUCACUACCAACUUCCCUAAUUCUCUUUGGAAGUACAACGAAAGAUAUCUUUGCAGACUCAUUAGAUAAAUUUUUGAAGGAGAAGAAAUGGUUAGGAGGAAUAUGCACAUAGCUUCCAUUCGACAUUACAAAUUCGUAUUUGUUAUCCAGUGAAUAAAUUAGGGAAUCUGCUUUACAUGAUAAAAUAUGAACAACGAUAAAGCCAUGAGUAUUUUUUUCAUAUUUGGUCUUUGUAUUACCACCAAUCUUUAUAACAGAUAAUGUAAACUUCGCAUUACUUAAUAAAGAAGAGAUAGCCAAUUCAUCUGUGAUUUGAGAAGAAGAACGCUUCAUACUUUUCGAAAUUUCUGAACUCAUCAAAAUUGCUCCUUCAUGCUCGGGAACCUUCCCAAGAGAAGGAAGCCGUUCAAUAUUUUCUACUAUGGAGUUUUCGUUAUUUAAAUGUGAAGAACUCUUUUUUUUCCUCAUUUAUAAGUUCCUGUAUUUGUAAAACCCACAGACUAGCAAAACCUUCAAAGAAUAUUUUGGUAUCUUAAAAAUAACGCACACAAUCUUGAAUUAUGAAGAAUAAGCUUGGUCAUUGCCCAAAAUCAUCGAGUAUAAAAAGAACUAACAACACAUUACCAUUAAGAAAAAGUAGGCGCUGAAAUUACCGCCAUUCGCUUUUGUUAAAGUAUCUCAUCAAUGUUAUUAAUAGUGUGGUGAAUUGAAGAAUUUGAUAAUGGGUGGCCGCUCAUAAAUUGCUUUAAUGCAGAUAGUGUAUCUUUUAAUGCCUUAUUUAGUUGCGGAAAUGAGUUUGCUACUGAAAUAAUAAAGUGCGCAGAGUGUUUUAAUAAGAUGUUAAAAUUGAUGAUUAAAUUGUGGUAAAUUCGGCUAUCAAGUUUGGAAUUUAUUAUAUCCUGAGUUAUACAUAGAACUCUAACAACAGAUCUCUCUGCAACAGGUAAAAAUGCUGACUUUUCAUUCGAAGAACUUUCUGAUGAAUAAUGGGCUGACUUUGAUGGGGAGAUAAUUAUGUUUGAGAGCCAUGAUAAUAAUGAAACACACUGAAUUAUUUGGUUUUCUAUUUUAAAAUCUAAACAAAAUACUUUACUAUCGGUUACGUUGUAUUUUCCCCACAAUUCAAUAAGUGAUCUUGUAUUCAGCAGUUUGUCCAACUUAUUUGCUAUUUUUGGUAGAAUAGUAUGCUCACAGAGUAUUUGUGGUGUAAUAUAGCAAAUUCUAUCAAUAAAUGAGCGUGUUCUUUCGAGAUAAACAUUGAAAUCAAUACGAUUAUUGAGACUUUUAUAUUGAAAUCCUUGUUCUACAAUUUGCUGAGCAAUAUUUGUAUUUCUACAGAAAAUGUUGGAAAAAAAUAUUGAAAUCUGUCUACUUGUUAAUUGACUUUCGGUUCUACUAUAAUUUACAUAUUUGUUCCAGAUAAUACAAAAAAUAUCAAAAUCCACACUCUGAAAAUGGUUAAUAAUAGGGUUUUUGUGUUUUAUUACUUCAUGAAAAUAAAGCAUUAUAAGCGAAAUAUUGCAAAUUAUUUCAAUUGAACUCUCUUCAGAUAGAUAGUUACUAAUAUUUUUGAUAUAUGUAUCA
rnacentral:antisense_RNA from 1 species